rnacentral:piRNA from 1 species
AAGCGACUGUAUAUUAGCAAAAUUAA